GUAAAUGCUUAUAACAUAGCGUUAAUGCACCAGAUCCCCUUAGAACUCUGCGGUUAAGCAUGCUUGGGAUAGAGUAGUAUUGGGAUGGGUGAUCGUCUAGGAAGUCCUAGUGUUUUACA
rfam:Picea glauca, whole genome shotgun sequence.